rnacentral:rRNA from 1 species
UGGGGAAUAUUGCUCAAUGGGCGCAAGCCUGAUGCAGCCAUGCCGCGUGUAUGAAGAAGGCCUUCGGGUUGUAAAGUACUUUCAGCGGGGAGGAAGGCGAUAAGGUUAAUAACCUUGUCGAUUGACGUUACCCGCAGAAGAAGCACCGGCUAACUCCGUGCCAGCAGCCGCGGUAAUACGGAGGGUGCAAGCGUUAAUCGGAAUUACUGGGCGUAAAGCGCACGCAGGCGGUCUGUCAAGUCGGAUGUGAAAUCCCCGGGCUCAACCUGGGAACUGCAUUCGAAACUGGCAGGCUAGAGUCUUGUAGAGGGGGGUAGAAUUCCAGGUGUAGCGGUGAAAUGCGUAGAGAUCUGGAGGAAUACCGGUGGCGAAGGCGGCCCCCUGGACAAAGACUGACGCUCAGGUGCGAAAGCGUGGGGAGCAAACA